GUUAACAAUGAGAGACAUGAUAUGCAGGAAUGGAAGGAGGGGAAGACUUCAGGAUGUCAUAGCAACUAACUGCCUGCCAGAGUAGCUCCCGAUGCUGACCUGCAAAAAAAUAUUUGGCUCUGUAUAACCUCUUGGCCCACUUAAACCAACGGUGAAACCAGUCGCAGCCACCCCUAAACAAGACUUCAGAAUAAGGCCUUACUUGCUCGGCAAGGCCUGGAGAUAUAGAGAAGGAAACACCCUUACAAAUGGCGAUAUCCCUCACAAACAUAAAUGAGUCUUACAAAAUGACAGCUCCGACCUGGUUUUCAGAGCCCUUCCUAUACCUGCUGUUUCUCAGAAAAGAAGAAGGAGAAGAGGAAGAAGGAGGAAAAGUUAAUUAAUAUGCCAGAGAGAUAUAUUUUACCAUGGGAAAUUCUGCUCCCAUACCUCAUAAAUUCCACUGUGUCAUUCAAUCUAUUUCUUUUUAGUUCUCAUAAAUUAAAUUCCUAUACUCAAUAAUUAUAUAACCACAUACAUUUAAGUGUAUCCAUCA